GGUAGCUAUGUGUGGACGGGAUAAGUGCUGAAAGCAUCUAAGCAUGAAGCCCCCCUCAAGAUGAGAUUUCCCAACUUCGGUUAUAAGAUCCCUCAAAGAUGAUGAGGUUAAUAGGUUCGAUGUGGAAGCAUGGUGACAUGUGGAGCUGACGAAUACUAAUCGAUCGAAGACUUAAUCAA
rnacentral:rRNA from 1 species